rnacentral:miRNA from 1 species
AAUGAUGGAGGUGCAGGCAUUUCCUGGGGAUUAAUGACCAGCUGGGAGGAACUGGUGGCCAUUGGCUCUGCCUCCCAGCCAGUCAUUAAUUUCAAAUGUCUUUUCUUGAGGUCAUU